UACAGAGGUGGCAAGCGUUGUCCGGAAUUACUGGGCGUAAAGGGCGCGUAGGCGGCCUGCUAAGUCGAACGUGAAAUCCCUGGGCUCAACCCAGGAACUGCGUCCGAUACUGGUUGGCUUGAAUCCGGGAGAGGGAUGUGGAAUUCCAGGUGUAGCGGUGAAAUGCGUAGAUAUCUGGAGGAACACCGGUGGCGAAGGCGACAUCCUGGACCGGUAUUGACGCUGAGGCGCGAAAGCCAGGGGAGCAAACGGG
rnacentral:rRNA from 1 species